ACUCCUACGGGAGGCAGCAGUGAGGAAUAUUGGUCAAUGGCCGAGAGGCUGAACCAGCCAAGUCGCGUGAGGGAUGACGGCCCUGCGGGUUGUAAACCUCUUUUGUCGGGGAGCAAGACCCGCCUCGUGCAGGCGGAGCGAGAGUACCCGAAGAAAAAGCAUCGGCUAACUCCGUGCCAGCAGCCGCGGUAAUACGUAGGUGGCGAGCGUUAUCCGGAUUUAUUGGGUUUAAAGGGUGCGCAGGCGGGAGAUCAAGUCAGCGGUAAAAUGUCGGGGCUCAACCCCGGCCGGCCGUUGAAACUGGG
rnacentral:rRNA from 1 species